rnacentral:rRNA from 1 species
GUGGGGAAUAUUGGACAAUGGGGGGAACCCUGAUCCAGCCAUGCCGCGUGUGUGAAGAAGGCCUUUUGGUUGUAAAGCACUUUAAGCGAGGAGGAGGCUACCGAGAUUAAUACUCUUGGAUAGUGGACGUUACUCGCAGAAUAAGCACCGGCUAACUCUGUGCCAGCAGCCGCGGUAAUACAGAGGGUGCAAGCGUUAAUCGGAUUUACUGGGCGUAAAGCGCGCGUAGGUGGCCAAUUAAGUCAAAUGUGAAAUCCCCGAGCUUAACUUAGGAAUUGCAUUCGAUACUGGAAAGCUAGAGUAUGGGAGAGGAUGGUAGAAUUCCAGGUGUAGCGGUGAAAUGCGUAGAGAUCUGGAGGAAUACCGAUGGCGAAGGCAGCCAUCUGGCCUAAUACUGACGCUGAGGUACGAAAGCAUGGGGAGCAAACAGGAUUAGAAACCCUUGUAGUCC